CAACUUAUGAGUAUAGUAGCCCUACUAUAUAUAUAUAGAGAGAGAGAGAGAGAGAGAGAGUUGAGCUAGAAUACUCUCAAAAGCACCAAGGGGGUAGUGCUUUUGAGUUUUUAACCAUUGGAUGGAGAGAUAUAGGGUUGAGAUAAUAGUAGUUGGUGGUGGAAGGUGGGGGCAGGUGGAAUAGUGUUUGAUCCUAGGGGUAUUAGUAAUUAAGGGGUAGAGCCAAGGGCUACAAACUUAGAGGCACCAAGG
rnacentral:lncRNA from 1 species